UACGUAGGGUGCAAGCGUUGUCCGGAAUUAUUGGGCGUAAAGAGCUCGUAGGCGGUUUGUCGCGUCUGCUGUGAAAACGCGAGGCUCAACCUCGCGCCUGCAGUGGGUACGGGCAGACUAGAGGUAGGUAGGGGAGAAUGGAAUUCCCGGUGUAGCGGUGAAAUGCGCAGAUAUCGGGAGGAACACCGGUGGCGAAGGCGGCUACCUGGCUUGGAACUGACGCUCAGGUGCGAAAGCGUGGGGAGCGAACAGG
rnacentral:rRNA from 1 species